CAGAUGCAAGUUCAUCACUUCCAUCAGCACAAUCCUCCCAACCAUCACAAAGAGCAGAACCAGAAAUACAAACACCAUUACCAAUGCAUUGAAAUUGAUCUGGACGACAACAAUGUGCUUCAUCUAGACCAUCAUGACAGUAUACAAUCUUUUGUUACUGCAGAACUAGGUGCAGCACAAGUAAAAUGAUCUGUUCCACAAGCUGGCGCAGCUCUACAAGUUUUUUCAUCUUCGGAUAAAACCAAAGAUUUUGGACAAGAACAUCUAAAAAUAAUAUUUUUAUAAUGAAUUUUUCUAAUGAAAAAAUGCACAGUGACUAUAUUCAAUUUUUAUUAGUUUUCUUCAUUUUUGUAACUUUUUGAUUUUAUAUUUUAUUUAAUAACUUUUAUAUAUUAAAAGACAUACCUAGAAGAAAUAGUUCCUAUACAAAAAUGUGAACAUCCUCCAUAAUCUCGAAAAGGACUACAAAUAUGUGUUUUCAUUAUAUCAUCUUGUGGAGUAUUUAUUGUAAUUAAAUCUGUGAGCACUUUA